AAGCGAAGGUCCCAGCGGAGAGGGUUGAAACUCUAGAACGAGACCUCUCUAACACAAUAAAACAAUACCUUCGCAUAUUAAACAUUUGCCGAAUCGUAGGAAGCUCCAAAUUGCUCCGUUUUGGUGCUUCUUGAACCCUUGGCUAAAUUUAU
rfam:Nicotiana sylvestris Nsyl_contig162783, whole genome shotgun sequence.